rnacentral:misc_RNA from 1 species
UUCCAUUGCGAUUGAUGGAAUGAAGACAACCCACUGGUGAGUGCUUUUUGUUUUCCUCCUUCAAGCGUACCCAAUCCCCAGCUGCCAAACCAAAAGUGACCCGCUCCAGGGUUGAAAUGGGAACUCUUAACGGGUCAUGGAUACCAUGGACUCUCACCAAAACAAAACCAUUUCGAUCUGUAUCACGUUCUAAGCCAACUACUAUUGCUUCUGGAACAUCCAUAUUUUCAGACUUGCGUGCAUUUGGUGGCUUUCUAGACCGUACCACAUCUCCCACUUGCAGAUGAUCCUUAAAAAGAAACCACUCUGAGUAACCACUGCCACUUGGUUUGUCUGAGGUUGUUUCGCUUCCAAGUCCUGUCCAACCUCCAUCACCAUAAAUUGCAUUAUGCGAUCCUUUAAAAACACGUAAUAUGUCUAUCAUUAAGGGUCGAUUCCUGAAGUCGUAGUCAAAGCAACCACUAAGGACAUUUUCGACUGAAGGAGGGAGGCCUUCUGGAAUGUGUGGUUUCUCUUGUUUCCUAACCACUGAGUCAUAAAUUUCUUCAACUCGCAUCCCACACCAAGGCUGAACACCAGUCAACAUUUCCACAAUGCUGCAUGCAAAUCCCCACGAGUCAGUCUCCAAUGAUACUGGACCUCUUACUUCUGGCUGCCAUUGUUCUGGAGCCAUGUAGCUUGGCGUUCCAAGCCUAGAAGACACAUCAGAGCUUGGCAAAGGAAUUCCAAGCAGUAGGUAAGGAAUACCUACUUCUCCCAGAAUCACUUGAUCAUUUUCGUCAAGAAGGAAAUUU